GGUCCCGUACCUAAGCAGGAUAGAGCACCAGAUUCCUAAUCUUGGGGUCGCGCGUUCGAAUCGCGCCGGGAUCACCA
rnacentral:tRNA from 2 species